CAGCUCCCAGUUAUCCAUGAGAACAGGGAAUCUUACCAGGACAUGCCCAAGUGCUGGUUCCAUGGCUCUUCCUGAGCCGAAAAUAAGGAAACUCCAUAGACCUUGUCCACUGGAACUCGUUCCCAUCUACCCUCCACUCUAUCCAGCCCCAUGAGGACAAGGAACAUGAUUGGUUUUGCUCACUGCCGUAUCUUCCGUACCUAGUACGUAACAGGACAUCAAUAAAUAUUAGUUGAAUGGAAGAUUAAAUCAACAAAAUGGGUGAUGGAUCUCUGCAGUAAGUGGAAGAGUUCUUCAUGGCCCCCAAGGUUAUAUCCAUCUAGAACUUCAGCACGUAAUUUCAUCUGGAAAUAGUGCCUUUGCGGAUAUAAGUUAGGUAAAACUGAAGAUGAGAUCAUACUGGAUUAGGAUGGGAUCUAAAUCCAAUGAAAAUGUCUUCAUAAAAAACAGGAAAGAACCCAUAGAAACACAAGGAAGAAGGUCAUGUGAAGAUGGAGGCAGAGAUUGGAGGGAUGCAGCCACCGGCCCAGGAAUGCCAGCAGCCACCCAGAAGCUGGAAGGAAAUGAGGGAUUCUCUCCUAGAACCUUUAGAGAGAACAUGGUCCUGUGAACAGCUUGAUUUUGGACUUGCCCAUAGCUUGUAUACUCUUACUUUGGAUACAAUUUUAUCCAAACUUGGCUAAACAGUUUCUCAGCCUAUGGAAAAUUUAAAAUGGAGAAGAUUCAACUCGAUUCUUACAGAUUCAAAGCAAGAAAAUGAUGGGAACAUAGGAGGAGACCAAGAAAGCCUAUAAAAAGCAAAAAUAUGAAGUGAACAUUGUGGUAGCUUUAAGAUGUUUAGUGUAGCUGCAGGCACCCUAUACACAUGAAAACCCCCAAGGGGAAUCCCCAUAUCACAGUGUAGUGUGAUAUUUGACAUUCGUGAUCAUCUAGAGAUGUACAGAAAAGGUGAAUCUGUGUUCUGUAUAUUCUGCCUAAGGCAAAGAAAUGUUUAGCUCUCUUUAAAAUAGUUCCAUAAUUUUUUCUAAAAAGCUUUGCUUGAAAACUGUAAGCUUCCCAUAUCUGGAGCAUUUCACUUUAAAUAUUUGGAUAAAUAUGUUAUCUUCUUACUUGGACAUUUCAUGUGUUUAGGGAUUGUCUUCUAAAUUCUUCCUAAUUCAUAUAGCUGCUAACACUUCCCGCAGAGCUAAACCAUUACAGAUAUGAAAUAAAGACCUAUUGAUUUGACUUAC
rnacentral:lncRNA from 1 species